rnacentral:rRNA from 1 species
AACGAACGCUGGCGGCAUGCCUAACACAUGCAAGUCGAACGAGACCUUCGGGUCUAGUGGCGCACGGGUGCGUAACGCGUGGGAACCUGCCCUUAGGUUCGGAAUAACUCCCCGAAAGGGGUGCUAAUACCGGAUAAUGUCUUCGGACCAAAGAUUUAUCGCCUUUGGAUGGGCCCGCGUUGGAUUAGCUAGUUGGUAGGGUAAAAGCCUACCAAGGCGACGAUCCAUAGCUGGUCUGAGAGGAUGAUCAGCCACACUGGGACUGAGACACGGCCCAGACUCCUACGGGAGGCAGCAGUGGGGAAUAUUGGACAAUGGGCGAAAGCCUGAUCCAGCAAUGCCGCGUGAGUGAUGAAGGCCUUAGGGUUGUAAAGCUCUUUUACCCGGGAUGAUAAUGACAGUACCGGGAGAAUAAGCCCCGGCUAACUCCGCG